CCGCUCCAUGAGAAAAGCAAACAUAUGUCAAGCUGCUGGCCAAGCCUUGUGCUGCAUAUCUUGUGACCACUCCGUUUAGGUUUCAUGCACCAGAAAGGGCUCUAUCAGUGCGCAUAGCUUCUUGGAAGUUCAGGAAAGGAAAUGUCCCCAAAGCUGACUUGAGUUCUCUCUUCUGUUCCUACAGCUGAUGGUGUCAAGUUUGUAAUUGACAUCUGAACCUACUCAUCCAGACCAGCUCUGUUGGAGAAAUUGUAUUCCGUUCAGACCACUGGGUGGUCUCUACUGCUGCAGAAAAGAAAAUGAAAGGACUGAAAUCUCCUCUUCAUAAGCCCGGACCUGACAUCCAUUCCCUGCCGGAUCGUUAGCCAUGAACAUUACUCACCCGGAUCAUUUACCCCAUUCCCACCUGGUCAUCGGAGGAUUCCGCUACCCC